GGCAGGCCAGUAGACAGUGACCCCAUCUAUCCUCUCAGUAGCAAUUCAGAAGACUGUGUUGAGGACGACAACCACCAGCUUAUUUUCACCAUAGUGGAGGGUGGGCCGGAAACCAACGGUGGAUCUGGGGAUGGUCCAUAGGGCCUCUUUCCCUCUGCAGCUUCCCUACAUCUCAGGGUGAGCUUAUGUUGAACUCUGACACCAUGACUCAGCUGAACACCCCGGUGAAGCAUCAUGAAGAGUGUUCUUCACAUGGAGUGUCACUCUGCUGGCCACAAAGUCACUAAUAAAAAAUAAGAGUGACAUGUAAAUUACAUUGUAUACACACACAGACUCCGUUUUAUAAUAAAACAUUUAAGCUGCUAAUAUUUUAAUGAUGGAAUUAAAAUGUAGAAUUCAUUUGAAAAAAGUUAGCAAAUGUAGAUGUCAAUCUACCAAAUCUACAACUUGUACAGGAAGCCUGGUCUGGUAACGUUCUAUAGAUUUUUUGAUUGUUUAUGUGCGGUUUUUAAAGGUAUGCUCCGUUACUCAGUGACCUAUACUUCAUUGAGUUAUUUACAUUUCCCAUUUCCAAAACCUUUGAUCACAAAC